rnacentral:rRNA from 1 species
CACGUAGUUAGCCGGUGCUUAUUCUUGCGGUACCGUCAUUAUCUUCCCGCACAAAAGAGCUUUACAACCCUAGGGCCUUCAUCACUCACGCGGCAUGGCUGGAUCAGGGUUGCCCCCAUUGUCCAAUAUUCCCCA